UUAGUGGCGGACGGGUGAGUAACACGUGGGAACGUGCCUUUAGGUUCGGAAUAACUCAGGGAAACUUGUGCUAAUACCGAAUGUGCCCUUCGGGGGAAAGAUUUAUCGCCUUUAGAGCGGCCCGCGUCUGAUUAGCUAGUUGGUGAGGUAAAGGCUCACCAAGGCGACGAUCAGUAGCUGGUCUGAGAGGAUGAUCAGCCACAUUGGGACUGAGACACGGCCCAAACUCCUACGGGAGGCAGCAGUGGGGAAUCUUGCGCAAUGGGCGAAAGCCUGACGCAGCCAUGCCGCGUGAAUGAUGAAGGUCUUAGGAUUGUAAAAUUCUUUCACCGGGGACGAUAAUGACGGUACCCGGAGAAGAAGCCCCGGCUAACUUCGUGCCAGCAGCCGCGGUAAUACGAAGGGGGCUAGCGUUGCUCGGAAUUACUGGGCGUAAAGGGAGCGUAGGCGGACAUUUAAGUCAGGGGUGAAAUCCCGGGGCUCAACCUCGGAAUUGCCUUUGAUACUGGGUGUCUUGAGUAUGAGAGAGGUGUGUGGAACUCCGAGUGUAGAGGUGAAAUUCGUAGAUAUUCGGAAGAACACCAGUGGCGAAGGCGACACACUGGCUCAUUACUGACGCUGAGGCUCGAAAGCGUGGGGAGCAAACAGGAUUAGAUACCCUGGUAGUCCACGCCGUAAACGAUGAUUGCUAGUUGUCGGGAUGCAUGCAUUUCGGUGACGCAGCUAACGCAUUAAGCAAUCCGCCUGGGGAGUACGGUCGCAAGAUUAAAACUCAAAGGAAUUGACGGGGGCCCGCACAAGCG
rnacentral:rRNA from 1 species